rfam:Streptomyces curacoi strain DSM 40107 genomic scaffold PRJNA299217_s006, whole genome shotgun sequence.
CCACAGGGGGUCGGGCCGGCUGAUGGCCUCGUCGCCGAUCUGGUCGCCGUCGGUGACGACGCCGAGGAUCUCCUCCUCGCCGUACUUUCCCUCCGCGAAGCGGGUGAACCUGCCGUGCACGACGAGGUACGCCUCCGUCACGGGCUGCCCGGCCUCGACCAGCACCUGGCCGGCGCGGACCUCCCGGACCCGGAACCGGGUGGCGACCUCCCUGAGGACCUCGGUGUCGGCGUAGCCGCGCAGCACCGGCAGUUCGGUGAGGGUCUCGGGGAUGACCUUGAUGUCGUCGGCGCCGUUGUGCUCGAACUGCACCCGCCCCCGGCCCACGCGGAGCUGCAGACGGCGGUUGACCCGGUAGGCGCCGCCCUUCACGUCCACCCAGGGCAGCAUGCGCAGCAGCCAGCGCGAGCUGAUGGCCUGCAUCUGGGGUUCGGACUUGGUGGUCGUGGUGAGCUGCCGGGCAGCCUGGGUGCUGAGGCUGGUGAGCUGACCGUCGGA